rnacentral:rRNA from 1 species
UACAGAGGUGGCAAGCGUUGUUCGGAAUUACUGGGCGUAAAGGGCGCGUAGGCGGCCUUCUAAGUCAGACGUGAAAUCCCCCGGCUUAACCUGGGAACUGCGUCUGAUACUGGAAGGCUUGAGUGCGGGAGAGGGAUGUGGAAUUCCAGGUGUAGCGGUGAAAUGCGUAGAUAUCUGGAGGAACACCGGUGGCGAAGGCGGCACCCUGGACCGACACUGACGCUGAGGCGCGAAAGCUAGGGUAGCAAACGGG